rnacentral:rRNA from 1 species
AACGCGAAGAACCUUACCUACCCUUGACAUCCUGCGGAUUUGGCUGAGAGGCUGAAGUGCCGAAAGGAACGCAGAGACAGGUGCUGCAUGGCUGUCGUCAGCUCGUGUUGUGAGAUGUUGGGUUAAGUCCCGUAACGAGCGCAACCCUUGUCCUUAGUUACCAGCAAGCAAGAUGGGUACUCUAAGGAGACUGCCGGUGAAGAACCGGAGGAAGGCGGGGACGACGUCAAGUCAUCAUGGCCUUUAUGGGUAGGGCUACACACGUGCUACAAUGGGGCGUACAGAGGGUCGCGAACCUGCGAAGGGGAGCCAAUCUCAGAAAGCGCCUCGUAGUCCGGAUUGGAGUCUGCAACUCGACUCCAUGAAGUUGGAAUCGCUAGUAAUCGCGAAUCAGCGACGUCGCGGUGAAUACGUUCCCGGGCCUUGUACACACCGCAUAC